GUUGGAUUAAAAUUAAUUUUUGGUAGUAGAAGCUAGGAAUUUAGGUCUGUUCGACC
rnacentral:tRNA from 2 species